rnacentral:rRNA from 1 species
GAUGAACGCUAGCUACAGGCUUAACACAUGCAAGUCGAGGGGUAACGAGAGGAAAGCUUGCUUUCCUUGUCGACGACCGGCGCACGGGUGAGUAACGCGUAUCCAACCUGCCCCCAACUAGGGAAUAACCUUGCGAAAGUAAGACUAAUACCCUAUAAUUUCCUCAGAUGUCAUCUGACGAGGAAUAAAGAUUUAUCGGUUGUGGAUGGGGAUGCGUCUGAUUAGCUUGUUGGCGGGGUAACGGCCCACCAAGGCAACGAUCAGUAGGGGUUCUGAGAGGAAGGUCCCCCACAUUGGAAAUGAGACACGGUCCAAACUCCUACGGGAGGCAGCAGUGAGGAAUAUUGGUCAAUGGGCGGAAGCCUGAACCAGCCAAGUAGCGUGCAGGAUGACGGCCCUAUGGGUUGUAAACUGCUUUUAUACAGGAAUAAAGUUAGCCACGUGUGGUUAUUUGUAGGUACUGUAUGAAUAAGGACCGGCUAAGUCCGUGCCAGCCGCCGCAGUAA